rnacentral:sRNA from 12 species
GAAGAGAUACGGUUAGGGCGGAUACCCGGCACCGCCCUUGCCGUCGAGGGGCCCUGGAGUGAUCCAGGGCCCCUCACUUUUU